rnacentral:rRNA from 1 species
UGGGGAAUAUUGGACAAUGGGGGGAACCCUGAUCCAGCCAUGCCGCGUGUGUGAAGAAGGCCUUAUGGUUGUAAAGCACUUUAAGCGAGGAGGAGGGUACUGGUCUUAAUACUACCAGGUACUGGACGUUACUCGCAGAAUAAGCACCGGCUAACUCUGUGCCAGCAGCCGCGGUAAUACAGAGGGUGCGAGCGUUAAUCGGAUUUACUGGGCGUAAAGCGUGCGUAGGCGGCUAAUUGAGUCGGAUGUGAAAUCCCCGAGCUUAACUUGGGAAUUGCAUUCGAUACUGGUGAGCUAGAGUGUGGGAGAGGAUGGUAGAAUUCCAGGUGUAGCGGUGAAAUGCGUAGAGAUCUGGAGGAAUACCGAUGGCGAAGGCAGCCAUCUGGCCUAACACUGACGCUGAGGUACGAAAGCAUGGGGAGCAAACAGG